UACGUAGGGUGCAAGCGUUGUCCGGAAUUACUGGGCGUAAAGCGCGUGUAGGUGGCGAGGCAAGUCGGGUGUGAAAGCCCUGGGCUCAACCCAGGAAGUGCACUCGAUACUGCCUAGCUAGAGUCCCGGAGAGGUUGGUGGAACUCUCGGUGUAGAGGUGAAAUUCGUAGAUAUCGAGAAGAACACCGGUGGCGAAGGCGGCCAACUGGACGGUGACUGACACUGAGACGCGAAAGCGUGGGGAGCAAACAGG
rnacentral:rRNA from 1 species